UCCUGGUUUAUAGGAUCUAGAAUCCUAUUCACGGAUGAGUUGUUGUCACCGUUUCCAACAAUGUGGGAGAGCACAAUAUAAGCUCUGUGCUGCUAGGCGAAGCGGUUGAGUCCUGCACCCUAGAUGGUGAGAGUCCAGUAGCCAAAAGCAUCAUUGGGUUACGCUCUAACCCGAGUAGCAUGGGGCACGUGGAAUCCCGUGUGAAUCAACAAGGACCACCUUGCAAGGCUAAAUACUCCUGGGUGACCGAUAGCGAAGUAGUACCGUGUGGGAAAGG
rnacentral:ncRNA from 1 species